UACAGAGACUGCAAGCGUUAUUCGGAUUCACUGGGCGUAAAGGGCGCGUAGGCGGCCUUCUAAGUCGAACGUGAAAUCCCCGGGCUCAACCCGGGAACUGCGUCCGAUACUGGAAGGCUUGAAUCCGGGAGAGGGAUGCGGAAUUCCAGGUGUAGCGGUGAAAUGCGUAGAUAUCAGGAAGAACACCCGUGGCGAAGGCGGCUCUCUGGGACGGUACUGACGCUGAGACGCGAAAGCGUGGGGAGCGAACAGG
rnacentral:rRNA from 1 species